AUUGAACGCUGGCGGCAGGCCUAACACAUGCAAGUCGAGCGGUAGCACAGAGAGCUUGCUCUCGGGUGACGAGCGGCGGACGGGUGAGUAAUGUCUGGGAAACUGCCUGAUGGAGGGGGAUAACUACUGGAAACGGUAGCUAAUACCGCAUAACGUCGCAAGACCAAAGUGGGGGACCUUCGGGCCUCAUGCCAUCAGAUGUGCCCAGAUGGGAUUAGCUAGUAGGUGGGGUAACGGCUCACCUAGGCGACGAUCCCUAGCUGGUCUGAGAGGAUGACCAGCCACACUGGAACUGAGACACGGUCCAGACUCCUACGGGAGGCAGCAGUGGGGAAUAUUGCACAAUGGGCGCAAGCCUGAUGCAGCCAUGCCGCGUGUGUGAAGAAGGCCUUCGGGUUGUAAAGCACUUUCAGCGGGGAGGAAGGCGGUGAGGUUAAUAACCUCAUCGAUUGACGUUACCCGCAGAAGAAGCACCGGCUAACUCCGUGCCAGCCGCCGCGGUAACAC
rnacentral:rRNA from 1 species